GGGGAAGCCGAGGCCCGGCGCCGUAUCCUGUGGCCGUUUUACCCGCGGGAAAGUCGAGGCCCGGCGCCGUAUCCUGCCGCCCGUUUUACCCGCGAGGAAGCCGAGGCCCGGCGCCGUAUCCUGCCGCCCGUUUUACCCGCGGAGACGCCGAGGCCCGAUGCCGUAUCCUGCCGCCCGUUUUACCCGCGGGAAAGCCGAGGCCCGGUGCUGUAUUCUGCCGCCCAUUUUACCCGCGGGGAAGCUGAGGCCCAGUGCUGUUUAAUAUCUUACUCAUGUUCACUUGAUGAGAAAGUGACAGAUCUGAGACAAACCCAGUUCUAGAGGUUAUGACACCAGCCAUGGAAGAGCAGAGAGGCCAAUGAGGUGGGGAGGUUGGAAACAAAAGGCCUUCUCCACCCCAGCUUGACCAACCCAAAAGCUGGAAGGCAAGGAAGACCUAGAUCGACAGAAAAGAAAUGAGUCAACGAUGGUGCAGAAAGGGACCAGCUUGACGAAGCUUCUGCUUUUGUGACUGUCUCCUAAUGCAGAAACCAGAGCACCUCAGAAGAUCAAGGCUUCCAAAUUCUCCUGGGGGAACAGACGUCAGCCAUUCAGCACAAAGGAAACUUCCUUCUCUGUAUGUCAGAGGAAGACAUAAUUGUGCCAUUUCCUUCUUGAAGAAGUUUACAAACAUUUGCAAGUUGUCAAAAAUAAUUAGUCUAAAAUUGUUUCAUAAACCGUGGAAUGAAACAGGACGUGCCUUGUUGAGAUCAAAGGGCUUCUGUUACCUUCUUGUAAACUCAAAUGAAAUUCUUUUGAAAGUAAACUCUUGGAAUUAGCA
rnacentral:lncRNA from 10 species